rnacentral:rRNA from 1 species
UACGGAAGGCAGCAGUGGGGAAUAUUGCACAAUGGGCGAAAGCCUGAUGCAGCUAUGCCGCGUGUAUGAAGAAGGCCUUAGGGUUGUAAAGUACUUUCAUCGGGGAGGAAAAAACAAAAACUAAUAAUUUUAUUUUCUUGACGUUACCCGAAAAAGAAGCACCGGCUAACUCCGUGCCAGCAGCCGCGGUAAUACGGAGGGUGCUAGCGUUAAUCAGAAUUACUGGGCGUAAAGAGCACGUAGGUGGUUUUUUUAAGUCAGAUGUGAAAUCUCUGGGCUUAACCUAGGAACUGCAUUUUGAAACUGAAAUACUAGAGUAUCGUAGAGGGAGGUAGAAAUUCUAGGUGUAGCGGUGAAAUGCGUAGAUAUCUGGAGGAAUACCUGUGGCGAAAGCGGCCUCCUAAACGAAUACUGACACUGAGGUGCGAAAAGCGUGGGGAGCAAACAGGGAUUAGAUACC